UCUAUCCCAGGGAAAGACGAUGCCAUGCCCGUGACCGCGUAACCCAGAAGACUCAGCUCGAACACCUUUCUUCCCUAAUUUGCGAUGUAGAAACAGAGAGUUCUCUAGCAGUUCAAGAAUUCCAAUUCGAGACACAAACAUCAUGAGCUUUAAAACUUUGAAUCUGCGCGGACAAUCGUGUAUCCACGAGGAAUGACAAACACAAAUCUUCGUUCAAGAAGAAUCGAGGAAACGCGGUUGAAUAUGUGCCCCAUCUCAUCAUCAAAAUCGAAUUCAAUCGAGGUUGUGCGUGAAGAGAAAUCGACGGAAGGAAAUCCUCACCAAUUUCAUGCUCCGGGUUGUCGUUCGCGUUGUCGCGCCGUCGUUGAUUAUGUUGCCCUUACAUUGCGUGUUGGUUGAAAUGAAGAGGGAAGGCUCGUGAUCUUUCUUUGCGUUUACGCUGAAACUCGAAGGGUAUCUUCAUAAGCGAGUUUUUCCAAAUUGCAGCUAGAAUUUUGUUGAGUUAGGUUGGUUGUCGAACGGGUUUGUUGAGAGGUGAUUGUUCGGUUAGUAAUGAGUUGAGAGAGAGGGAUGGAGGGUGAAGAAGGUUGUAGUUGGAAGUGGAGGUUGGAGAAGUUAGAAGUUGUUAUGGAAGAUGGUUGGAGAGUGAAGGGGUUCUUAGUUGGAAGAGGUUUGUAGGGGAUUCCCCCUUCUGGUUUGAGGAGUUUGUUGGAUUUUGUUGAAGUUCUGUUAUGAAGGAAUGAGAGAGGUUUGUUGAAAGGUUGUUACCAUUCUGUUAUAGAGAUUGAUUAGAGGUUUUUUGUAUGGUUAGAAUUUAGUUGGAGGUUAGAGUCGGUUGGAGUGUGUUUUGUUAAUACAGUUGGAAGUUGGAAUUUUUGAAUCUUUGUUUUUUCAAGGUUCAGGGAAUUAGGUUGCUUUGUUCAGGCUUCAACUUCAGAUCACAAUAAUCUCUAGGCAACAUGGGUACAAUUCUUCUCACGGGCCAAGUAAUAUAACUUUCAACGACAUCCCGAAUCUCCCCCUGAUGCUGAUCAAUUACAUACUCGAUUUCUUUCCUUCCAAACUAAGGCCUCUUGGAUGUUAAAAGCAGCCAUUGUAACCCGUUGGUUCUUUUCUUUCUUGUUGUAAACAUAUAAAACAUAUACAUAUGUCCAUGAUAGGUCUUCAAGGUUAGAGAUUAUUUUUGGAAGUUGUUCAAGAGGGUUUCUCGUUCUGCAGGGUGAUUGGUGAUGUUGUCUAUAUGUGGUCAAUCUGUUACCUAAUUGUUAUUACGAAAUUAAUGAGCCAAAUCACCGUUAAUUCUAAAUCGUUUUUCAAUAUGGAUUACAUGCUGAUCAUGUAUUGAUUCCACUGCAGGUUUGUUGCAAGGAUCAAUAUAGUAUUGGCUCGCCGUUUUGAGUCGCGACUUGUUGUUUUUGAGAAGAUGGCCAAGCGGAUCGUGGAGGAGUUGGGAAUGACAGGUUCUCACCAGUUGCUGCCGGCGCCGGCUGUUGCCAGCUGUCACAUCCCAAUUUUGUCCAGGCAUUUUAAAUUUUCGUAAAUUUGAUUUCAUUUUUUAAUUUGCAUCAUAUGCACAGCAUUAACAUGCAUUUCAUCAUGAAUAACACCUAAAAUAUCAGUCAGAACAAAUUAUUGAAAAUACAGACAAAUUGGUUAAAUCAUUUCUCAAGAACGUGCAAAAUCAGUGGGUAAAAAGUUUCAAAAUUAAAAUUGCAGACGCCAAUAUUAUUAAUCUACGGUUCACGUAGUUUAACCUGUUGUGCUCGUUAUAAUUUUCAACGACUGUUUCAGCUGCGCUUUGACCCGCCCGAGCCUAACCGGUAAAAAUUUAUUUUGAAAUUAAAAGAAACGCUGUAUUUUUUCAAUAAAUAUAUUUUGUGCUGAUCAUUUUUAUGUGACCAAUUUAAUUUUUUGAGCAAAUGGUCACGUGUUUGUUUACCAGAAAGUAUUGCCCCUAGAACUCAACCAGAACCAGAGCAGGAUGCCUGCUCUGAUACCAAUUGAACGACAAGGGAGGAGAUGUUGCCAACGUCUCUCUUUUCUAAUAGAAAAAUAAUAAUAAGAAGGCAUUAAACCCAUUACCCAAAGAUCUCUUUUUUCUCUCUGAGGAAAUAAAAACAAAGGAUAAGACAAAACAAAAAAAAAGAAAAUAAAAAAGAACCUCACGUCUCUCUCAUUGAUGGAUUCUCACCUACCCACUUAAUAACUAUCUCU